AACGAACGCUGGCGGCAUGCCUAACACAUGCAAGUCGAACGAGACGUCCGGGUCUAUUGGCGCAUGGGUGCGUAACGGGUGGGAACCUGCCCUUAGGUUUGGCAUAACUCCCCGAAUGGGGUGCUAAUACCGGAUCAUAUCUUCGGACCAAAGAUUUAUCGCCUUGGGAUGGGCCCGUGUGGGAUUAGCUAGUUGGUAGGGUAAAAGCCUACCAAGGCGAGGAUCCAUGGCUGGGUGGAGAGGACGAUAAGCCACACUGAGACUGAGACACGGCCCAGACUCCUACGGGAGGGAGCGGAGGAGAAUAUUGGACACGGGGCGAAAGCGUGAUACAGCAACGCCGCGUGAGAGAUGAUGGGCUUAGGGUAGUAAUGCUCUUUUACCCGGGAUGAUAAUGACGGUACCGGGAGAAAAAGCUCCGGCUAACUCCGUG
rnacentral:rRNA from 1 species